UCCCUCCUCAUACCACUGUGCGUGCUCGCAGGAUACAUGUACACAUCUGGGAGACCCACAUCCCCAGAGCCAAUGCUCCCGGCCCCUCUCCUGCCCCUCCCCACUCACUAGACCGCCCUUUGCAAGUCACUGUGUGACCAUCACUCACUGCCCUGUGCCCUGAGAGAUGAACUUCCUCCACGCCUCUCUCUGCCUAGCGAGCUUCUGCUUAUCCUUUGAACACAGUCCAAACAGCACCUCCUCUUUGAAGCUUUUCACGUGUCUCUAAGCAACGGGAUGUCACCAUCUGUACAGUGGUUCACAGUGUGAGCUUUGGAGCCAGCUUGCCUGCCUUCAAAUCCUGGCUCUGCCAUCUUCGUAGCUGCAUGGCUUUAGCCAGGAUUUCGGUGAAGAAUGAUACAGAAAUGCAUGAAAUGAACAGAGUGUUUUGAGGCAAGGUAUUUUCCAUUUUUACUAAAAAAAAAAAAGCAAAAACAAAAUAAAACUGUAUCAUGAUAACAUGCACACAAAGGAACAGAAGAACCUAAACCAAAAUAUCAACAGAAAUGACUUCCAAAUGGUGAGACUAACUUUCUUUGCUUGUAUUUAUUUUUGCAGUUUCCUAAGCAAACAAGCAAAACAAAAACGAAAACAAAAAAUCAAAAACAACCCACCCCAGUCUGUGUGUGUGUUUAAUAACAUUUAAAAAAACAAAAAGAGAGAAAACAGCAGACCCAGUGUCACCUCUUUCUGCCAGGUGCUCAGAUACUCCAGACAAUCGUUGGCUGUACUCCCUUUACCCAAGGGGCAGUAUGGUUUAGAAAGACAAAGAAGAAGUCAAGGGCAAGGGCACAGGGCCAGCUCAAGGCCUUAAAUGUCCUCUCCUUACUUAGCAUACGCUUCCCCAGCCAACCAGGGUGCCUGCCAACCCCCUUCUCCACCUCAAAAUCAAGGCCCCAAAGGCCCAUACCCAUGUAUUUUCUCCUGGGACACCUGGGAGGCAGGUGGGGCAGGGAUCACACUAUCUUGAGGUGCAGAUGAAAGGAAGCCUGCAAGAUAACUUGCAUCUUCCACAGAUAAGGUACACAGAGACCAAGUCUCAGGUGAGCACUGUGGGCACACUGAGCACUUCUGUUGUCUAAGACCAGAGGGGCUCGUGAGAAAACACCCAGUUCUGAUUCACCUUUGUCCCCAAGCUUCCUAUAGAACACAAGUAGGGAUACUGGAGUCUGGGUGUCUUAAAGCUGGAUGCCACCAUGAAUGACAUCUCAUCCAGCCCCCCAACCUCAUUUCUCACUCCAUCUUCUGUCUUCUGCAUACAACCCCAGGGGUAGCCCAGAUCACCCUUACAAGUGGGACUGUAGGAAACCCCUCCUUAUACUAAAAGCCUCACCCUUCCCUCCAGAAAGGGGCCCUGAGGGCCAGCUGCUUAGGGUCUCCCUUGAAGACCACAACCAUAAGGCAGCCUUGUCAGUAGGCAAGGGCUUCUCAAAACCAGCCAUUUGGGGUCUGAGAGGCUUGAAUGACACAUUUCUGGAACUGAGCUGGGCAGACACGUUCUGUCACCAGUGUCUAGAACAUUUUCUUAUUGAUAGAUCUGGUUUUAUCUCAUGAUUUGGGAAGAACUGUCCCUUGAGUGUGCAGAAACCCAAAAGGAGGGCAAGAGAAUAGAAAAGCCAAUUAUGGGGUGACCUACUCAAAUUGUGGAGCAUGGGCUUGGGUCAACACUUUUUAUAAAGAGUCAAAUGUUCAACCGUGCAGUGGAGAAAUUUGAGGAAUUUAGGGAGAAGAGCGAGAAGGAAAAAUAUGGAUGUUGGAAGUGCAAAAUAAAAGGAUGUGAAAGCUUUAGAAGCCAUUAGAAAACAAUGUGGCUUUAAUCCAGGGGUGGCAGACCGAGCUGGGGUGAGAUUCUGUCGUGUCCAGCUGUCAGAGUUCAGGCAAGAGAAGACGGCCCGGAGGGGUCCCUACUCUGCCCUGGCAGGUCAGAACACCAUCAUGUCCACCCCAGGGAGAGGCAACAGCAAAGGCCAAAUCACUUCAAGGUGAGAAGCACCAUAUACAAGUGAGGUGCCAGAGCCAAAUAAGGAAGGCCCUGGCCUGGCAAUCAGCCCUUCCAAUGCCCAAAGCAAGGCCAGAGCCCAUGGCUGCUGGCUUCUCAGGGUGGCUUAAAGAAAAUCCAACUUACAGAGUCAUUGUAACACCGACUAAAGCCAAAGCCUACAAUGCCACGGAUGGAAGAGCCUUGACUCCCCUGCCUUGCAUUUCCAAUCUUUGUUAAAAUGGACGUUUUUGCAAAUGAAUCUACGGUCAAGCUCUGAUACAAUGAUCUAUUCGCUCUCAACAGAGUUACUCAUACCCUCUGAGUCUUGUAGUUUCCCAUCUGUAAAACAGGGUCAAUCCCAGCACUAGGGCAGAUAUGAGAAGUGAGAUAAUACAUGGAGGACAUGCUUGGCACACUGCCGGCAUCAGGAAGUGCUCAAUAAACAGUAGCCGCUAACAUUAUCAUCGCUAAAUGUCACUUUUGUUUGUGGUGUUUAGGAAGAUCUUUGUAUAAAUUCAAUCACAAAUCAGUAAAAAUGUCCUUGAUCAGUCUACCGGUUCACGAAAUGUGGUCUCACACAGCUCAAGUUCUCUAAGUGUGGAAGGAAGCAAGCUUCAGGAAGCAGCUGAUUGCUCUGCAGAUCUGGAGCAGGGCAAGGAGACCCCCAAGGUGCCACAUGACCCCAAUCCUAGGAGGAGGUGAACAGGAUGAAGGAGGGAACCUCUAGCAUGCAGGCUCCCAGGAGCCCCGGAAGAUAAAGCUACCAGGUCAAAACAAGUAGGGCUUGUCGACAUGGUUUUGAGAGGGUGGGAUCUUAAAUUUUAAACUUAUUUUAAAGCUAAUUUUAAACUUAAGGUGGAUUCACCUUUUGGGGGGAAAGGGGAAGGAGGCUCUCAGCUUUAAUCUGAAUAUUCAUGAGGACAUAUACCUGGUCACCAGAAAACAUCACCAACAGUCUCACUGUCCCCACUGGCGACAGUGAUCAUCUGUGAUCAUGUUCUCCUUCCCUCAUGUUCAAUGAAGAAGUUCAAGGGCACAGGUGUUACAAGUAAGAAACCUGAUUCCCCUGUACUGGCUGGCAGCCCUUCACCCCAACAGAAAGUAGCUGGAGAAAGGGGUUCCAGGUUUGCUCUAGAAGAAGCAAUGGGGCAGGAAAGAUGAUGAAGGGAGCAAUUUAAGUCUGAGCAUGGGAUAAAGGUGGCCUGAGAGGGAGACACUUCUCUAGAGCGAUCUGGAUGGAAGGAGGGUUCCAUGGCUGCUUAGAUUUUGCCGAGGGCACCUAGCUUCUGGGUCCCAGGUACGUGACUUUUGGCCAACUGAGGCCUCUCCCAGCCUCAACCCCAUCACCAUCCAAUGGCCCAAAGGGAUAAUGAUCCUUGUCUUAAUCAGGACUACCUGUCACACUUGUGAAGCGUUCACAAGGUGGUCACAAACCCCAAGCCUUACUCUGCAUACACGCUAUGUGAAAGGGACUAUCAGUUUCACAUUCAGCUUCCACUCAGCAAUCGGUAAGUGUGAGGGCACAAUUCCUGUCAUGUGCCUACCACAGUUCUUAGGUCCUCUCAUCACUCCUAACAUUCCUAUCAAAUUCACCCCCCAGGCUACAGAAAAGGAAACUAAAGAAGAUUCAUUCUUUUCACCACUCCACUCAGAUCAGGGAGGCUCCAUUCUAGACACGGACACCUGGCACUGAACAAGACAGGCACAGGACUAUUCUUGCAGAGCGUACAUUCUAGUGUAGGGGAAAAGGUAAUAAACAGGCAAUAAUUCCAGAUGCUGGUAAAUACUAUAAAGGAAACAAAAUAGGAUGCUUUGAUAGACACAGAGGAAUAGUAUUAGAGAAAGGCAGACUUCAAAUAGAGGGAACAGCCAGUGCAAAGGCCCUGAGACACAAAAUGAGCUUGACUUAUUAAAGGAAGAGAAAGGAGGCCAAUGUGGGGAGGCCAAUGUAGGAGACAAGAGAUGAGAGCAGGUGGGGCCCAACUAUUUCAGAUAUUACAGGUACAGGUAAGAACUGGGAAUUUUACUGAGAGCAAUGGGAUGACAGCGGAGGUCUUUAAGCAGGGAACUGACACGAUCUAAGUUCUGGUGGUGGUGGGAAGAAUGGACGGUGGAAGCCAGGUUCAAAGAAGUUUAGAGAGGUCAUACAAGCAGCUCGGGGUUUCACCGCCAUAACUAGUGUGCAUCUGACACCACAGUUCCUUUCCACAGUGUCACAUUUUACACACUAUAGUGUAAUGCUAUUCUGGAAUGGCACAUCUGACAAAGUGGGGCUUCCACUAGCUGGGUGAUCAAGCCUUGCUUCCUGCAUCAGUCAACUGAGCAUAACCACGCCCGGGUCGAUGAUGACAGUUCAACGGCACACACACAAACACGCUUUGUGUUUAUCUGGAAACAUUUGACAAACAACAGUGUGUACUGUGUGCCAGACACUCACAAAAUUGUUCUACAGUGUUAGAAAUGUAGUACUAGAAUAGAUGUUGACUAAAAAAUUACUCUGGGAAAAAUGAAAGGCCAGCCCUCAUUCCUUAAGAAAGAAAUUCCUUAAGAAAGGUGAGGCUGGUAUGGCUGCUGGGUUCCCCUUAGCUCUCGCUUUUCUCUGCAAACUCUCCAUAAAACCAAAUUGUCUCAAGAAGCAUCUGGGGCGUCUGGGUGGCUCAGUCGAUUAAGCAUCCAACUCUUGGUUUCGGCUCAGGUCAUGAUCUUAAGGUUUGUAAGUUUGAGCACCGCUUCAGGCUGUCAUCCACUGUCAGUACAGAGCCCGCUUUGGAUCCUCUGUCCCCCUCUCUCUCUGCCCCUCCCCUGCUCACAUACACGCUCUCUCAAAAAAUAAACAUUAAAAAAAAAAAAGCAUCUGCUUCUUUGAACAGAGAGUGGAAAUAAAGGAGGAAAAUAGUUAAUAUGGGGGGGGG